ACCCGCUGAAUUUAAGCAUAUAACUAAGCGGAG
rnacentral:rRNA from 1 species